UACAGAGGUCCCAAGCGUUGUUCGGAUUCAUUGGGCGUAAAGGGUGUGUAGGUGGCGCCGUAAGUCGGGUGUGAAAUUUCGGAGCUUAACUCCGAAACUGCAUUCGAUACUGGCGUGCUUGAGGACUGGAGAGGAGACUGGAAUUCAUGGUGUAGCAGUGAAAUGCGUAGAGAUCAUGAGGAAGACCAGUGGCGAAGGCGGGUCUCUGGACAGUUCCUGACACUGAGACACGAAGGCCAGGGGAGCAAACGGG
rnacentral:rRNA from 1 species